rnacentral:rRNA from 2 species
UAAGCAUAUCAAUAAGCGGAGGAAAAGAAACCAACAGGGAUUGCCCCAGUAACGGCGAAGUGAAGCGGCAACAGCUCAAAUUUGAAAUCUGGCUCUCGGGCCCGAGUUGUAAUUUGUAGAGGAUGCUUUUGGUGAGGUGCCUUCCGAGUUCCCUGGAACGGGACGCCAUAGAGGGUGAGAGCCCCGUCUGGUUGGACGCCGAACCUCUGUAAAGCUCCUUCGACGAGUCGAGUAGUUUGGGAAUGCUGCUCUAAAUGGGAGGUAUAUGUCUUCUAAAGCUAAAUACCGGCCAGAGACCGAUAGCGCACAAGUAGAGUGAUCGAAAGAUGAAAAGAACUUUGAAAAGAGAGUUAAACAGUACGUGAAAUUGUUGAAAGGGAAGCGCUUGUGACCAGACUUGGGCUUGGUUGAUCAUCCGGGGUUCUCCCCGGUGCACUCUUCCGGCCCAGGCCAGCAUCAGUUCGCCCUGGGGGACAAAGGCAUCGGGAACGUGGCUCUCUCCGGGGAGUGUUAUAGCCCGUUGCGUAAUACCCUGCGGCGGACUGAGGUUCGCGCAUUCGCAAGGAUGCUGGCGUAAUGGUCAUCAGUGACCCGUCUUGAAACACGGACCAAGGAGUCGUCUUCGUAUGCGAGUGUUCGGGUGUCAAACCCCUACGCGAAAUGAAAGUGAACGCAGGUGAGAGCUUCGGCGCAUCAUCGACCGAUCCUGAUGUUAUCGGAUGGAUUUGAGUAAGAGCAUACGGGGCCGGACCCGAAAGAAGGUGAACUAUGCCUGUGUAGGGUGAAGCCAGAGGAAACUCUGGUGGAGGCUCGCAGCGGUUCUGACGUGCAAAUCGAUCGUCAAACAUGGGCAUGGGGGGCGAAAGACUAAUCGAACCUUCUAGUAGCUGGUUUCCGCCGAA